rnacentral:ncRNA from 1 species
UACCUGGUUGAUCCUGCCAGUAGUCAUAUGCUUGUCUCAAAGAUUAAGCCAUGCAAGUCUAAGUACGAGCUCUCGUACAGUGAAACUGCGAAUGGCUCAUUAAAUCAGUUAUGGUUCAUUUGAUCGUACAGUUUACUUGGAUAACUGUGGUAAUUCUAGAGCUAAUACAUGCGAGAAGCGCCGACCUCGCGGGAGGCGUGCAUUUAUCAGACCAAAAACCGGCCGCGUCUUCGGGCGCGUUCGCCUUGGUGACUCUGGAUAACUUUGCGGAUCGCACGGUCUAGCACCGGCGACGGAUCAUUCAAGUGUCUGCCCUAUCAACUUUCGUCGGUACGGUAUUUGCCUACCAAGG